CAAGACAUAAGUGUGGAAAAUUCAAGGAAACAAGUGAUAAAAGAUGGUGAGUCCUCCGACAAGGGCAAGGAAAUUGUACCUGAGGAUCAAUAGUCGGAGUAUUAUAGAAAUUCAACUCCCAAAAUAGCUCAGAAUAGACUGUAGAUAACUGAUCGCAUCGAGGACUAUCAUUAGAAUUGCAUUUUCCAAACUGUAGGUUCACAGUCCUCUUUACUUUUGAAUAUUCGAGGGUCUCACUUGUUAUUGUAAAUUAAAUUUCAUACUCUAGUUAUCUGUACUACGGUAUAUAGGAAUUUAUUUUGCUUUUACGCUGUAAAAAAAUUGUUUACGUAGUGUUUCAAAAAUAUUAUUUUAUA